rnacentral:rRNA from 1 species
AUUGAACGCUGGCGGCAUGCUUUACACAUGCAAGUCGAACGGCAGCGCGGGCUUCGGCCUGGCGGCGAGUGGCGAACGGGUGAGUAAUGCAUCGGAACGUGCCCAGUAGUGGGGGAUAGCCCGGCGAAAGCCGGAUUAAUACCGCAUACGACCUGAGGGUGAAAGCGGGGGACCGAAAGGCCUCGCGCUAUUGGAGCGGCCGAUGUCGGAUUAGCUAGUUGGUGGGGUAAAGGCUUACCAAGGCGACGAGCCGCAGCUGGUCUGAGAGGACGACCAGCCACACUGAGACUGAGCCACGGUCCAGACCCCACCUGGUGGCACCAGGGCGCAAUUGUGGACAAUGGGGGCAAGCCUGAUCCGGCCAUGCUGCUUGCGAGAAGAGUGCCUUCGGGUGUCAAGCCGCUGUUAUUAGGGAAGAAGGCCUCUUUCCUAAGACCCCGGGUGGAUGACGGUACCGGAUCAAUGAACACCGGCUAACUAGCUG